rnacentral:rRNA from 1 species
UACGUAGGGGGCAAGCGUUGUCCGGAAUCAUUGGGCGUAAAGCGCGCGUAGGCGGCCCGGUAAGUCCGCUGUAAAAGUCAAAGGCUCAACCUUUGAAUGCCGGUGGAUACUGUCGGGCUAGAGUCCGGAAGAGGCGAGUGGAAUUCCUGGUGUAGCGGUGGAAUGCGCAGAUAUCAGGAGGAACACCAAUAGCGAAGGCAGCUCGCUGGGACGGUACUGACGCUGAGACGCGAAAGCGUGGGGAGCGAACAGG